UACGGGGGGAGCAAGCGUUGUUCGGAUUUACUGGGCGUAAAGGGCGCGUAGGCGGCCUCUGCAAGUCGACUGUGAAAUCUCCGGGCUUAACCCGGAAAGGUCAGCCGAUACUGCAGGGCUAGAGUGCAGAAGGGGCAACUGGAAUUCUCGGUGUAGCGGUGAAAUGCGUAGAUAUCGGGAGGAACACCAGUGGCGAAGGCGGCUCACUGGACUGGUACUGACGCUGAGGUGCGAAAGCGUGGGGAGCAAACAGG
rnacentral:rRNA from 1 species